rfam:Sugiyamaella lignohabitans strain CBS 10342 chromosome B, complete sequence.
GUCAAAGUGGCCGAGUGGUUUUAAGGCGUUGCCCUGCUAUGCUCUAAGCACAUAUAGUCAGGCAUUGGGCUCUGCCCGCGCAGGUUCGAAUCCUGUCUUUGACG